UAUAACUUUCAGCAAUGGAUCUCUAGGCUCUCACGUCAAUGAAGAACACAGUGAAAUGUGAUACGUAAUGUGAAUUGCAUAAUUCAGUGAAUCAUCGAAUCUUUGAACGCACCUUGCACCUUUUGGUUAUUCCGAAAGGUACACCUGUUUGAAUGU
rnacentral:rRNA from 1 species